rnacentral:rRNA from 1 species
AAUCGAACUCGGAGAUAGCUGGUUCUCCCCGAAAUAGCUUUAGGGCUAGCGUUAUCUUAGAUUACCGGAGGUAAAGCACUGAAUGGGCUAGGGGGCGAUAAGCUUACUGAACCCUAUCAAACUCAGAAUGCCGGCUAAUUGAUGGAUAGCAGUCAGACAGUGUGAGAUAAGUUUCAUUGUCAAAAGGGAAACAGCCCAGACCCACAGCUAAGGUCCCUAAUGUAUGCUAAGUGGAAAACGAUGUGGAAUUGCGAAAACAACCAGGAUGUUGGCUUAGAAGCAGCCACUCAUUAAAAGAGUGCGUAAUAGCUCACUGGUCGAGUGACUCUGCGCGGAAAAUAUAACGGGGCUAAGCAUACAACCGAAGCUUGGGAUUGUCUAAAGACAGUGGUAGGGGAGCGUCGUGUAUGGGGUGAAGUCGCAUCGGAAGGAGCGGUGGACUGUACACGAGUGAGAAUGCCGGAAUGAGUAGCGAGAAUUAUGUGGGAAUCAUAAUGGCCGAAAAUCUAAGGUUUCUUGGGGAAGGUUCGUCCGCCCAAGGUAAGCCGGGAGCUAAGGCGAGGCCGCAAGGCGUAGUCGAUGCACAUACGGUAGAAAUUCCGUAGCCACCGAACUUUAAACCAGAAGGACACUUGCAGAUAGCGGAACCCAGCCGUUGGUUGAGCUGGGCGAAAGGGACUGAAAUUAGUAGGGAAGUCCGCGAUGCUGAAAGGCGAGAAAAGCUCUGAUGGAUACUAAGGCGCCCGUACCGCAAACCGACACAGGUAGAUGAGGAGAGAAUCCUAAGGCCAACGGGAGAAGGGUUGUUAAGGAACUCGGCAAAUUGACCCCGUAACUUCGGAAGAAGGGGAGCCCCGAAAGGGGCCGCAGUGAAUAGGCCCAAGCAACUGUUUACCAAAAACACAGGUUUAUGCUAAAUCGAAAGAUGACGUAUAUGAGCUGACGCCUGCCCGGUGCCGGAAGGUUAAGAGGAGAGCUUAGAGGCAACUCGAAGGUUUGAAUUGAAGCCCCGGUAAACGGCGGCCGUAACAAUAACGGUCCUAAGGUAGCGAAAUUCCUUGUCAGGUAAGUUCUGACCCGCACGAAUGGCGUAAUGAUUUGGGCACUGUCUCAACAGCCCGCCCGGCGAAAUUGUAGUACUGGUGAAGAUGCCAGUUACCCGCAACUAGACGGAAAGACCCCAUGGAGCUUUACUGCAGUUUAAUACUGGGAAUCGGUAAUUCAUGUACAGGAUAGGUGGGAGACUGAGAAGCAUGGCCGUCAGGUCGUGUGGAGUCACCGGUGGGAUACCACUCUUGGAUUGCUGGUUUCCUAACCUGCGGCCCUGAAUCGGGUCGGGGGACACUGUUAGACGGGCAGUUUGACUGGGGCGGUCGCCUCCAAAAGAGUAACGGAGGCGCUCAAAGGUUCGUUCAGCACGGACGGAAAUCGUGCAUUGAGUG